AAAUAAGAAUUAAUAAUAAUUAAAAUUAAUUUCGACUUAAUAAUAGGAAAAUUUCCCUUAUUUU
rnacentral:tRNA from 1 species